AGCAGCCGCGGUAAUUCCAGCUCCAAUAGCGUAUAUUAAAGUUGUUGCAGUUAAAAAGCUCGUAGUUGAAUUUCGGGACCAAUUUGUUGGUCGUGCCUCGGUACGUACUGGUAUUAUUGGUUUCUCCCUUCUGAAGAACCUUGAUGUCAUUAAUUUGGUGUCUUGGGGAAUCAGGACUGUUACUUUGAAAAAUUAGAGUGUUUAAAGCAGGCAUACGCUUGAAUACAUUAGCAUGGAAUAAUGAAAUAGGACGUUUGAUUCUAUUUUGUUGGUUUCUAGGAUCGACGUAAUGAUUAAUAGGGAUAGUUGGGGGCAUUAGUAUUCAAUUGUCAGAGGUGAAAUUCUUGGAUUUAUUGAAGACUAACUACUGCGAAAGCAUUUGCCAAGGAUGUUUUCAUUAAUCAAGAACGAAAGUUAGGGGAUCGAAGACGAUCAGAUACCGUCGUAGUC
rnacentral:rRNA from 1 species